rnacentral:rRNA from 1 species
GAUGAACGCUAGCUACAGGCUUAACACAUGCAAGUCGAGGGGAAACGACAUCGAAAGCUUGCUUUUGAUGGGCGUCGACCGGCGCACGGGUGAGUAACGCGUAUCCAACCUGCCCAUCACUUGGGAAUAACCUUGCGAAAGUAAGACUAAUACCCAAUGACAUCCCACGAAGACAUCUGAAUGGGAUUAAAGAUUUAUCGGUGAUGGAUGGGGAUGCGUCUGAUUAGCUUGUUGGCGGGGUAACGGCCCACCAAGGCAACGAUCAGUAGGGGUUCUGAGAGGAAGGUCCCCCACAUUGGAACUGAGACACGGUCCAAACUCCGACGGGAGGCAGCAGUGAGGAAUAUUGGUCAAUGGGCGAGAGCCUGAACCAGCCAAGUAGCGUGCAGGAUGACGGCCCUAUGGGUUGUAAACUGCUUUUAUAAGGGAAUAAAGUGGGUCUCGUGAGACUUUUUGCAUGUACCUUAUGAAUAAGGACCGGCUAAUUCCGU